UUGUGCCCUAAUGCCUUCUCGCCCACUAUAUAAGAAUUAUGUUGGCUAACUAAACCCUAACUUCGCCCCCGCCUAAAACUCCUGUUUUGUUCUACGCUCCAGUGCCAUCUCACCACGCCAAAUAUAUUAGGGUUUAGUAGGCAUCUUAAACACCCAUUAUGGAGUUCUUUUGUUCUCUGUUGUGAUUACAUUUCUGUUUUUCUUUUUUUUCAAUGUUUGAUUCAUUGUUUGUUUUUCUAUGUUAUCUUGUAUAUUAUACUUUGAUGUCAUUUAUUCCUUCUCAUUUUUGCUAUUGAUACAGAUAUGCCUGUGCCGGUGAUGGCGUUAAAUAUACUUUGAGAGUUUAUCUAUGAAACGAAUUUAAUCUGAGGCAUCGAGGCUAUGCUUUUAUUUUCAACCAUAUUUCUUGUUCUUAAAUGAAUUUUCUCAUGUAAACCAAUCUUUUCACAGAGCCCGGUUGUGGUUUCUGCGGUUAUAGUUGGUUUGUUGACUCUUGUUUGGUAGAUUUUCAUGAAUUUUAUAUAUGAAAUGCAUAGCAUCAAUCAAUGUAUUCAGAUUUUCUUUCAAGCUUUAAUAUUUAAUCGGUUUUUUUUGAAAAUCAUACUGUUUGGCUGUGGUUAGUAGUUCCAUGGAUAGUUUAAGUUUGUUCUUUAAAUUUUUCUUAGCUUUGAUGAAUUUUUGCUUCUUAAUGAAAGAGUUGGUAUGUCGUUUAUUUGAAUCCAUGGAGAGUGUAAUAUGCAAUUGAUGAUAAGCAAGACAGGGACAUCAGCACUCCCUAGUGGAAAUGGUGACUUAGUCUAAUGGGAAUCUCUCUGAUGCAUACAAUAAUUUUAUUUAACUGUACUACUAUCUAGUGUUAGAUGAUUCAUUAUGUUGCAUUAAUUCAAUGACUUCUUUCAUAGCAAUUGUGAUUUGUUACUAUGAUUUCAUCCAGCCAAUGUUUUUUUUUUCUCUUUUUGCUUUUACAUUAUCCAUUCUUAAUCUUUGACUAAAUGCAUGAUAAUAUGGUGCAAGUGACGAUAAAACAGACAGGGACAUCAGAAAUCCAAUGGAAUAUGAUGAUUUGUCGAUGGGAAUCUCUCUGAUGCACUGAUAUUAAUUUCUUGGGUUAGGAAUUUCAAAAUACUGUUUCAUUCCUGUUAUCUCUUGGACAUUUUGCCUAUGAUGGUGUUAAAUAUACUAUGAGCUUAUGCUAUGAACAGAAACAUAAAUCUGAGGCUCUUUACUUGGAAAACAGAAUUACUAAGAUGUCCAAUUGAAUAAUCAUUGGUUACCAAUGAGGCAUUUUAUGUCCUGUUUUCAGUCAUUUUCUCUUGAGAGUCAGAAUUGUUUGGUCAUUCUUUUGAAUCAACAUGAGUUGCUGUUUUUAUGGUAGAAAGGCCCCUGAUGAUUAUUGUUACACAAGAUGGGAGAUCAGAGUGGUGCUUUUCUAGUAACUUUACCCAAGAUUAUGGCUGUGUGAACAGAAGUUAAUACUUUAAAAAUAAUUGAUGAAUAAUUUUAGAAAAUAAAACUAAUUUAUAAGUUAUUUUAA